UACGUAGGGGCGAGCGUUGUCCGGAAUUAUUGGGCGUAAAGGGUUCGCAGGCGGUCUGAAUAGUCAGAUGUGAAAGAUCAUGGCUUAACCAUGGUAAGCAUUUGAAACUGUCAGACUUGAGUUAAGGAGAGGAAAGUGGAAUUCCUAGUGUAGCGGUGAAAUGCGUAGAUAUUAGGAGGAAUACCAGUGGCGAAGGCGACUUUCUGGACUUAUACUGACGCUGAGGAACGAAAGCGUGGGGAGCAAACAGGAUUAGAUACCCUGGUAGU
rnacentral:rRNA from 1 species